rnacentral:lncRNA from 1 species
CUACUCACCCUGUGGGCUAACUAUGAGCGGGGUAUAAGCAGUUUGAGCAGAUAUAUCAAUGCCUGAAAUGAUAUGAUACGGCCCAUUUCGGAAGAAAACGACACCGUUUGAAUUAGGGGAUGCAGUGAGAUACAAGACGAAUUGUGGGCUGAAGUGAGUUGGUCCGGGAGCGAAAAAUAUGCCAUAAAUUACUCAUAAAACAAGGUAUAAAAUUUUCGCCUAAUUUGAUUGGAUGAAAUAUUUAUUUUCCUCUGUCAAGCGCUAUGUGUUAAUUUUCUUAAUAAGCAUUAUCUAUUGUGUAUGGCAAUGGAGAUUGAAAUAGUAAAUAUUUACAAACAAAAUGUUCAUUAUAACAAACAAUAAAAUAACUUGUUUUUAUGGCUGUGACGAAUAUGGAAAAUAAUAAAACUUUUUGCAGACAAAACAUUCCCGAUUCCAAAAGCCUUAAAUAAUAAAAUUUGUCUACGGUGACAGUGGCGACAACGUUAGUGAUAGAAAAUAUUAAAAUUUCACUAUUAAAACAUGUAACAAUAAAAUUUAUCAAUUGCAUGUGGUGGCAGUGGCUCCGGCUGUUGCCAUGGCAGCAACAACAUUGAUGAAUUUGUGACUUUUAUUUGAAUAGCCAUAGAAGGCAAGGGAAAAUUAUCUUAAAAAUAAUUUUACAUUAAAUUAGGAAACCUUUCAACUCAUAAAACAAAAUUUCUACUUUAGACUGCUUUUCUUGCAUCUCAGCCAGGUAUGUUUUAUUGUUUGUAUUGUUAUAGUAAUUAUAUUUGUGCACCGCAUAUGCGUAUCAUUUGACGUGUCAGUUUACACUGUUCAUUUACAUAUGUUGUGUAGAGUUUAUCAAGUGAUCUAAUUGCUCCAUAUAUACUGCCACAUUACAUAAUACUUAAAUGUGGUAUACAAAAGUAAUCAUCAUGGCUAACAACCUACAAGUCAUAAACAAUUUUUUAUGGUAUUUUCAGAAGUUAAUAAUAGUUUUUUUGGGUGAAAAAUCUACUUUACCCCUUGUAGUUUUGACUCGAGCACUUCACCUCCCUCACAUUCAAUAAUAGCCAAGCCAAUUUACCACCACCUUGUUUUGGAGUAAAGUGCAACGUGAACUCUGUUAACUGAAUUGGGGAAAUGACUGUCAUACCCUUUUUUUAUCUUCUUCUCCUAUUUUGUUUUCCUCCUCCUCCUCCUCCUCUUCUUUAUGUGUGUGUGUGUAUAGAUUGGCCAAACAAUUUUUGUUAAGAAGCAAAUUUCAAUAAACCGCUUAUUAUUAAUUAAGCCACAUAUAAUCAAGAUAUUAGACCAAGUUCCCCUAUUCUGCAAGUAAUGUCUGCUUUUAACUUAAGUUUUAAUUAACCAUUCAUUGGAUAUACAUACAAAUGUUUACAUAUGUACAGAUUUAGAAUUCAUGUUAACACAGAUUUCUGUUAAUAAUUGUUUAAAUAGGUUUGGGGAUACAAUAUUCAAGCCCACAAAAUUUUUGUGAUGAAGAAUAGGGGAAGGAUUGGCCCACCACCUGUCACCACCAAUAAUGUUGUCAUUCAUUUUACAGAUUGACAAGAGGACCACAAAAAGCUUUUGGUGGAGCAAUAAUUGAGCAAUUUAUUCUGGUGUUUUGCUACUUUAGACCACAGUGUUGCAUCUCAACCAGGUAUGUUCUUCUGGUAAUGCUCAUUUGAUAUGACAUCUUACAUGAUCUAUUUAAAUGUGUUGCCAGGAUUUAUCAAAUGGUGCAAUUUGUGCACAUAUAUCUAUCACGACAUCACAUGGUACUCAAAUUUAGUCUUUAUAAAAAGUACUUUCUCCAUAUGAACUCCUAAUAGCAGCCAAUCCUUGUCAUGAACAAUUGUUUUUUAUGAUAUUUUUAUAAGGUGAUUUUAAUUAUAAGAUUUUUCAUGUUCUUAUAAAGAUAGGAAAAGAAAAAGAAAAGAAAAAGGUUGUUGGAAAUUUGGAAUUUGUAGACUGAGAAAGUCACUUGCCUCGUGCUAGAAUCUUGUACAUUUUUCUAUUUCUCACGCUACAGCAAAGUAAUCAUCUGAAAAAGUUGUUGGAAUACAAUAUAGAUUCAGAAAGUCAUUUGUAAAUUUUAAUACUGAAAAGAAAAGGGGAAUUAUUAAGCAAAGUAUGAUUGGUGGUCUUUUGCUUGUUGCAUCUAGAUAUUUUUAUGAUGUGGUUCAUUUAGGUGUUUAAAUUCUCUAUUGAACACCAGUGUAAGAAAGCUACAAGCACAAAAUUAGGCCACAAAAGCGGAUGUGGCCACUGGCCAAACACGUCCUCAACUUGGCUCACUCAAGUUACUAAAUAUCGGUCGAUAUGUAUCUGGAUUUUGACAUUCUAAUAUGAAUAUUUUAGUAAAUGUCAACUCAGACUGUCUAAUAUUUUUAUGAUGUGGUUCAUUUAGGUGUUUAAAUUUUCUAUUGAACACCAGUGUAAGAAAGCUACAAGCACAAAAUUAGGCCACAAAAGCGGAUGUGGCCACUGGCCAAACACGUCUUCAACUUGG